rnacentral:rRNA from 1 species
GACGAACGCUGGCGGCGUGCUUAACACAUGCAAGUCGAACGGACCCUUUGGGGUUAGUGGCGAACGGGUGAGCAACACGUGGGUGAUCUGCCCUGCACUUUGGGAUAAGCCUGGGAAACUGGGUCUAAUACCGGAUAGGACUACGCACUGCAUGGUGUGUGGUGGAAAGCUUUUGCGGUGUGGGAUGGGCCCGCGGCCUAUCAGCUUGUUGGUGGGGUGAUGGCCUACCAAGGCGACGACGGGUAGCCGGCCUGAGAGGGUGACCGGCCACACUGGGACUGAGAUACGGCCCAGACUCCUACGGGAGGCAGCAGUGGGGAAUAUUGCACAAUGGGCGCAAGCCUGAUGCAGCGACGCCGCGUGAGGGAUGACGGCCUUCGGGUUGUAAACCUCUUUCGCCAGGGACGAAGCGCAAGUGACGGUACCUGGAGAAGAAGGACCGGCCAACUACGUGCCAGCAGCCGCGGUAAUACGUAGGGUCCGAGCGUUGUCCGGAAUUACUGGGCGUAAAGAGCUCGUAGGUGGUUUGUCGCGUUGUUCGUGAAAACUCACAGCUUAACUGUGGGCGUGCGGGCGAUACGGGCAGACUGGAGUACUGCAGGGGAGACUGGAAUUCCUGGUGUAGCGGUGGAAUGCGCAGAUAUCAGGAGGAACACCGGUGGCGAAGGCGGGUCUCUGGGCAGUAACUGACGCUGAGGAGCGAAAGCGUGGGGAGCGAACAGGAUUAGAUACCCUGGUAGUCCACGCCGUAAACGGUGGGUACUAGGUGUGGGUUUCCUUCCUUGGGAUCCGUGCCGUAGCUAACGCAUUAAGUACCCCGCCUGGGGAGUACGGCCGCAAGGCUAAAACUCAAAGGAAUUGACGGGGGCCCGCACAAGCGGCGGAGCAUGUGGAUUAAUUCGAUGCAACGCGAAGAACCUUACCUGGGUUUGACAUGCACAGGACGCCGGCAGAGAUGUCGGUUCCCUUGUGGCCUGUGUGCAGGUGGUGCAUGGCUGUCGUCAGCUCGUGUCGUGAGAUGUUGGGUUAAGUCCCGCAACGAGCGCAACCCUUGUCUCAUGUUGCCAGCACGUUAUGGUGGGGACUCGUGAGAGACUGCCGGGGUCAACUCGGAGGAAGGUGGGGAUGACGUCAAGUCAUCAUGCCCCUUAUGUCCAGGGCUUCACACAUGCUACAAUGGCCGGUACAAAGGGCUGCGAUGCCGUGAGGUGGAGCGAAUCCUUUCAAAGCCGGUCUCAGUUCGGAUCGGGGUCUGCAACUCGACCCCGUGAAGUCGGAGUCGCUAGUAAUCGCAGAUCAGCAACGCUGCGGUGAAUACGUUCCCGGGCCU